rnacentral:rRNA from 1 species
GGACCCGCACAAGUAGUGGAGCAUGUGGUUUAAUUCGAAGAUACGCGCAGAACCUUACCAACACUUGACAUGUUCGUCGCGACUCUAAGAGAUUAGAGUUUUCGGUUCGGCCGGACGAAACACAGGUGCUGCAUGGCUGUCGUCAGCUCGUGUCGUGAGAUGUUGGGUUAAGUCCCGCAACGAGCGCAACCCUCACUUUUAGUUGCCAUCAUUAAGUUGGGCACUCUGAAAGAACUGCCAGUGAUAAGCUGGAGGAAGGUGGGGAUGACGUCAAGUCCUCAUGGCCCUUACGUGUUGGGCUACACACGUGCUACAAUGGUAUCUACAACAGGAAGCAAGACUGCGAAGUUAAAGCAAAUCCUAAAAAGAUGCCUCAGUUCGGAUUGCACUCUGCAACUCGAGUGCAUGAAGCUGGAAUUACUAGUAAUCGU